rnacentral:rRNA from 1 species
UGGGGAAUAUUGGACAAUGGGCGCAAGCCUGAUCCAGCCAUGCCGCGUGAGUGAGGAAGGCCCUAGGGUUGUAAAGCUCUUUCACCGGUGAAGAUAAUGACGGUAACCGGAGAAGAAGCCCCGGCUAACUUCGUGCCAGCAGCCGCGGUAAUACGAAGGGGGCUAGCGUUGUUCGGAUUUACUGGGCGUAAAGCGCACGUAGGCGGACUUUUAAGUCAGGGGUGAAAUCCCGGGGCUCAACCCCGGAACUGCCUUUGAUACUGGAAGUCUUGAGUAUGGUAGAGGUGAGUGGAAUUCCGAGUGUAGAGGUGAAAUUCGUAGAUAUUCGGAGGAACACCAGUGGCGAAGGCGGCUCACUGGACCAUUACUGACGCUGAGGUGCGAAAGCGUGGGGAGCAAACAGG